rnacentral:piRNA from 1 species
UAGAAGCUAAGGUUUGAGCAGCCACCAG